rnacentral:rRNA from 1 species
CACGAACGCUGACGGCAUGCCUAACACAUGCAAGUCGAACGAGACCUUCGGGUCAAGUGCCCCGCGGGUUCGUGACGCGUGGGAAUCUGCCCUUCAGUUCCGAAUAACUCACCGCAAGGGGUGCUAUUAGCGGAUGAUUUCUUCGCCCCACAGAUUUAUGGCCCUUGAAUGGGACCGCGUUGAAUUAGAUAGUUGGUAGGGUAAAAGCCUACCAAGGCGACGAUCCAUAGCUGGUCUGAGAGGAUGAUCAGCCACACUGGGACUGAGACACGGCCCAGACUCCUACGGGAGGCAGCAGUGGGGAAUAUUGGACAAUGGGCGAAAGCCUGAUCCAGCAAUGCCGCGUGAGUGAUGAAGGCCUUAGGGUUGUAAAGCUCUUUUACCCGGGAUGAUAAUGACAGUACCGGGAGAAUAAGCUCCGGCUAACUCCGUG